AUUUUUGGGGGGAAGUUUUGGGGCAGUUUGAUGCCAUUUUUGGGGUAUUUCGCUGCCAUUUUUGGGGACAUUUCGGGCCGUUUCUCUCCCAUUUUUGGGGCGGUGUUUUGGGUUAUUUCUCUGCCAUUUCUGGGUGGUAUCUCUCCCAAUUUUGGGGCAUUUCUCUGCCAUAUUUUGGGGACAUUUCGGGCCGUUUCUCUCCCAUUUUUGGUGUAUUUUGGGGUGUUUCUCUGUGAUAUAUGUGGGGGAUAUUUUAGGUUAUUUCUCUGGCAUUUUUGGGUUAUUUCUCUGCCAUUUCUGGGUGGUUUCUCUCCCAAUUUUGGGGUGGUUUUGGGGUGGUUUCUCUCCCAAUUUUGGGGCAUUUCUCUCCCAAUUUUGGGGCAUUUCUCUGCCAUAUUUUGGGGCAUUUCUCUGCCGUAUUUUGGGCAUAUUUUGGGCUGUUUCUCUCCUAUUUUAAGGGCGGUGUUUUGGGUUAUUUCCCCCCGGUUUUGGGGGUGGUUUCUCUCCCAAUUUUGGGGUGGUUUUGGGGUGGUUUCUCUCCCAAUUUUGGGGCAUUUCUCUCCCAGUUUUGGGGUACUUCUCUGCCGUAUUUUGGGGACAUUUCGGGCCGUUUCUCUCCCAUUUUUGGGGUGGUGUUUUGGGUUAUUUCUCCCCGGUUUUGGGGGUGGUUUUGGGGUAUUUCUCUGCCAUUUUCGGGGCGGUGUUUUGGGUUAUUUCUCUGCCAUUUCUGGGUGGUUUCUCUCCCAAUUUUGGGGUGGUUUUGGGGUGGUUUCUCUCCCAAUUUUGGGGUAUUUCUCUCCCAGUUUUGGGGUAUUUCUCUGCCGUAUUUUGGGGACAUUUCGGGCUGUUUCUCUCCCAUUUUCGGGGCGGUGUUUUGGGUUAUUUCUCUCCGGUUUUGGGGGUGGUUUCUCUCCCAUUUUUGGGGUGUUUCUCUGCCAUAUUUUGGGGGCACAUUUUGGGUUUUUUCUCUGCCAUUUCUGGUCUAUUUCUCUGCCAUAUUUUGGGGUGUUUUGGGUUAUUUCUCUCCCAUUUUUGGGGUGGUUUUGGGGUGUUUUUCUGCCAUU
ensembl:lncRNA